rnacentral:tRNA from 1 species
CCCCUUGUAGCUCAGUUGGUAGAGAAUCUGCCUGUAAUGCAGGAGACCUGGGUUUGAUUCCUGGGUUGGGAA